rnacentral:ncRNA from 2 species
ACAAACAAUAUAAAACAAACUCGUAUAAUCGUGAGGAUAUGGCUCACAAGUUUCUACCAAGCUGCCGUAAAUGGCUUGACUAUGAGUGAUGAUGACAAUCGG